rnacentral:lncRNA from 1 species
GCUGUCUGUCCCUCUUCCAACCACAAAAGCGUCCCCAAACCCCUCCAGGGUGGCCAUGAUUCCCACUCUCACCCCUGUCCCCAAUUAUCCCAUCCCUUUUGUUCAUUUCCUGGAAAACAUUAAUUAUCCAUUGAGAUGCACUAAAUUGUGGUUCUUUCUCACUAGACUGUGGGUCCCCGCAGACAGGGUUUUUGUCCCUGCGGAGCCCCGUGGUGGUCUCCCGGGCUCGGGCCUCCCAGAGGUCCCCAAAUACGGUCUACGUGGCAGCCGGGGAGGUAGAGAGGAUGUCUCUGGGGCGCCUCAGGGACUUUCCCUGUCCCGCUGGGAAAGCGUGAUCUCACCCGGUUCCUCCCUCCUCGCCGGACGCGGAAGGGGCGGGCGGAGGCCGUGCGCCUGGGGCUACAGGCGCGCCCUCCGCGCCCUGCCAUCCGCGGGCAUCGCCACCAGGCCAUCAGGCCACCAACAUCCGCCCCGAGGACCCGAGCAGUGCGGCCGGUCGCCCCCGCGACCCCAGCUAUUUCAGAUUGACUUCUCACACUGUUGCUGGUGUAGUCGGGAGUUGGAAAGUUUCAUUUUUCCUUUUUAGCAUUUUUUAAGAUUUUUUUUUUAAAUGUGGACCAUUUUAAAGGUCUACUGAAUGUGUUACAACAUGGCUUCUGUUUCACAUCUUGGUCUUUUGGCCAUGAGGUUAUGUGAGAUCUUAGCUCCCCAGCCGAGGAUCGAACCUACACACCUAGCAUUGGAAGGCGAAGUCUUAACCACUGGACCACCAGGGAAGUCCCUCCUUUUAACAUUUUAUAGACAUAGGGCCUGAAUUCAGAAUAGGACACAGAUCCUAAGUAUUGAACUUGAAUUUUCGGAGUGAUCACUGCAUGAAAUAGAACUUAAUGUCCAGCCCCUCUCGUGUCCCAUCCUUCACACUCUAUCAGCUGUUGCCCUUUAUCAGUUAAAAAUUGGAGGGUGCGUGUCAACACGUGUCUGAUUUUUUUUCUUUUUUUAAAUUAAUUUUUAUUGGAGUAUAGUUGAUUUACAAUGUUGUGUUAGUUUCAGGUAUACCGGAAAGUGAGUCAAUUCUACAUAUACAUAUAGACAGUUGUUUUUUUUUUUAAGCUUCUGUUCCUGUAUAUGUCAUUACAGAGUACUGAGUAGAGUCCCCUGUGAUUUUUUUCUUUUUAAGUUACUACACACACAGCUGUUUCUAGGAGCCACUGAGAGGUGGAAAGAAAGUUGAUCCAAGGGUCAAACUGCAAGUAAUUUUGAUAUUUCCAUAAGUUUUGGCUGACUUGGGGGCCCUUCUGAAAGUAAGAUUGUUGUCCUUUUUGAUCCAUUCUGUCGAUGAUGGUAACUCACAUCGAAGGUAGGAGAAAGUAUUCCCUUUGCCUUUUUCUUACUGCUCACUUGUGCCUGCAUUAUAGCAAGUUGUCUGUCUUCCACUUUCCUCCAGGACUACUCUGGCCAUGAGCUCAUUGCAUGGGCUAUUUUAAUUAUAACUAGAUAAAUCUGUUUCUCAGGCCAUGUAACCAGAUCCAUGGAAGCUGGAAUCUCUGGUGAUACACUUUGGAGACCACAGGGUUAAUGAGUUUAGAUUCGGGCAGCCUGGGUUCCCGUCCAUCUGUGCUCCUUACAUACCUUUUCUCAUGCUAAUUCUUUUUUUCCCCCCUAAUAUUUAUUUAUCUGGCUGCACUGGGUCUUAGGACAUUAGUUCCCUUACCAGGUAUCAAACCCAGGCCCUCUGCCUUGGGAGCACAGAGUCUUGACCACUGGACCACCAGGGAAGUCCCAUUCUUGUACUAAUUCUUCAAGAUCUGGUAUGUAUUUUUUCAGAUCUCAAUUCAAACACUUUUAUAUAUAUAUAUGUACAUAGUUUAAGUGAAAUCUGAGCCUACUGAAACAAAGUUGGGUUUAACGGGGUGAAAUUUUUUCUUUUUUCACACUGCCCAACUUUUCCAUUUUCAUUUCAAUUCAGUCGCUCAGUCAUGUCUGACUCUUUGCGACCCCAUGAACCACAGCACACCAGGCCUCCCUGUCCAUCACCUCCCGGAGUCCACCCAAACCCAUGUCCAUCGAGUUGGUGAUGCCAUCUAACCAUCUCAUCCUCUGUCGUCCCCUUCUCCUCCUGCCCUCAAUCUUUCCCAGCAUCGGGAUCUUUUCCAGUGAGUCAGCUCUUUGCAUCAGGUGGCCAAAGUAUUGGAGUUUCAGCUUCAACAUCAGUCCUUCCAAUGAACACCCAGGACUGAUCUCCUUUAGGAUGGACUGGUUGGAUCUCCUUGCAGUCCAAGGGACUCUCAAGAGUCUUCUCCAACACCACAGUUCAAAAGCAUCAGUUCUUUGGCGCUCAGCUUUCUUUAUAGUCCAACUCUCCCAUCCAUACAUGACCACUGGAAAAACCAUAGCCUUGACUAGACGGACCUUUGUUGGCAAAGUAAUGUCUCUGCUUUUGAAUAUGCUUUCUAGGUUGGUCAUAACUUUCCUUCCAAGGAGUGAUUUUGGAGUCCAAAAAAAUAAAGUCAGCCAUUGUUUCCA